rnacentral:rRNA from 1 species
UCGAAUCUUAUUGGCUACCAUGCAAGUCGAGCGGAUGAAGGGAGCUUGCUCCUGGAUUCAGCGGCGGACGGGUGAGUAAUGCCUAGGAAUCUGCCUGGUAGUGGGGGAUAACGUCCGGAAACGGGCGCUAAUACCGCAUACGUCCUGAGGGAGAAAGUGGGGGAUCUUCGGACCUCACGCUAUCAGAUGAGCCUAGGUCGGAUUAGCUAGUUGGUGGGGUAAAGGCCUACCAGGGCGACGAUCCGUAACUGGUCUGAGAGGAUGAUCAGUCACACUGGAACUGAGACACGGUCCAGACUCCUACGGGAGGCAGCAGUGGGGAAUAUUGGACAAUGGGCGAAAGCCUGAUCCAGCCAUGCCGCGUGUGUGAAGAAGGUCUUCGGAUGUAGAGCACUUUAAGUUGGGAGGAAGGGCAGUAAGUUAAUACCUUGCUGUUUUGACGUUACCAACAGAAUAAGCACCGGCUAACUUCGUGCCAGCAGCCGCGGUAAUACAAAGGGUGCAAGCGUUAAUCGGAAUUACUGGGCGUAAAGCGCGCGUAGGUGGUUCAGCAAGUUGGAUGUGAAAUCCCCGGGCUCAACCUGGGAACUGCAUCCAAAACUACUGAGCUAGAGUACGGUAGAGGGUGGUGGAAUUUCCUGUGUAGCGUAAUUGGCAAAAAAAAAAAAGGC